rnacentral:rRNA from 1 species
GAGGNUAGCAGGUACGAGCGCACCCCUAUCCUUAUUUGCCAGCGCGUAAUGGCGGGAACUAUANCNGNNACUGCCGGGUGAAACCCGGAGGAAGGCGGGGACGAGGUCNAGUCAUCAUGGCCCUUAUGGAUUGGGCUACACACGUGCUACAAUGGGAAGUACAGAGGGAUGCGAAAGCGCGAGCUGAAGCCAAACCCUUAAAACUUUUCUUAGUCCGGAUUGGAGUCUGCAACUCGACUCCAUGAAGUCGGAAUCACUAGUAAUCGCGAAUCAGAAUGUCGCGGUGAAUACGUUCUCGGGCCUUGUACACACCGCCCGUCACAUCAUGGAAGUGGGUUGCACCAGAAGUGGUUAGUCUAACCUUCGGGAAGGCGAUCACCACGGUGUGAUUCAUGACUGGGAUGAAGUCGUAACAAGGUAGCCCUAGGGGAACCUGGGGCUGGAUCACCUCCUU